rnacentral:rRNA from 1 species
GAUGAACGCUAGCGGCAGGCCUAACACAUGCAAGUCGAGGGGUAACAGGGAGCUUGCUCCGCUGACGACCGGCGCACGGGUGCGUAACGCGUAUACAAUCUACCUCUUGCUACGGGAUAGCCCAGAGAAAUUUGGAUUAAUACCGCAUAGUAUAUUGAGAUCGCAUGGUUUUAAUAUUAAAGGUUACGGCAGAAGAUGAGUAUGCGUUCUAUUAGCUAGAUGGUGUGGUAACGGCACACCAUGGCAACGAUAGAUAGGGGCCCUGAGAGGGGGAUCCCCCACACUGGUACUGAGACACGGACCAGACUCCUACGGGAGGCAGCAGUGAGGAAUAUUGGACAAUGGGCGAGAGCCUGAUCCAGCCAUGCCGCGUGCAGGAAGACGGCCCUAUGGGUUGUAAACUGCUUUUAUACAGGAAGAAACACCUCUACGUGUAGAGGCUUGACGGUACUGUAAGAAUAAGGAUCGGCUAACUCCGUGC